UACGGAGGAUGCGAGCGUUAUCCGGAUUUAUUGGGUUUAAAGGGUGCGCAGGCGGAUUUUUAAGUCAGCGGUCAAAUCGUGGGGCUCAACCCCAUCCAGCCGUUGAAACUGGGGAUCUAGAGUGUGCGAGAGGUAUGCGGAAUGCGUGGUGUAGCGGUGAAAUGCAUAGAUAUCUCGCAGAACCCCGAUUGCGAAGGCAGCAUACCGGUGCACAACUGACGCUCAGGCACGAAAGCGUGGGUAUCGAACAGG
rnacentral:rRNA from 1 species